rnacentral:pre_miRNA from 1 species
GACCUACUCCCUCCGUUCUAAAUUACUUGUCUUGGAUUUGUCUAGAUACAGAAGUAUCUAUAGAUACUUCUGUAUCUAGACAAAUCCAAGACAAGUAAUUUAGAACGGAGGGAGUACUUG